GCACUGGUGGUUCAGUGGUAGAGCUCUUGCCUUCCAUGCAGGAGACCUAGGUUCAAUCCCCAGCCGAUUUA
rnacentral:tRNA from 1 species